ensembl:misc_RNA Y_RNA Y RNA
GGCUGGUCCAAUGGUAGUCAGUUAUCUCAAUUGAUUGCUCACAGUCAGUUACAGGUCAAACUCCUUGUUCUUCUCUUUUCCCCCCUCACUACUGUACUUGGCUAGUCUACA